UCACAGUGGAGGUAUACCUUGUUGUGUGACGUAACAACGGUAGCAUUCACUGUAAC
rnacentral:pre_miRNA from 1 species